rnacentral:lncRNA from 1 species
CCAGCCAAACUCUGUAUCUUACUCUGCACACAAAUUCGGUCCAACAAAAAUCAUGAAUGAAUCCAAUACUCAAGAAAACAUAAAAAAAAAACUUGUAUUCUGGCGAGGCAAACAGAAGAAUCGUUAUCCUUAAAACUUUACAAAGUGAUGGAAACCAAGUAGAGGAUGCUCAAGGCCAUGAAGCCCAAGCCCAACAAGGGGCCCAAGCCCAUCAAGGGGUCCAAGCCCAACAAGGGGCCCAAGCCCAACGAAUUACUAGGAGCAUGGCAAGAGCUUUGGGACAAGAGUAUAAUAAAAUGGCUCUUCUUAUUUCUUUUGUAGAAUAGGGGUGUGAAUGUAAUAAAAAGGUGUAAGUAGUAAGGGGGUCUAGGGGGGAGUGUAGAUAGGAGCCUAGGGGGUGCCAAUCUAGGAAGGAAAGUCACACUUCCUUCAUUGUCUAGAUUGGCGCCGAAUUUCAUUGCAUUUGUGUGCCAUUUAGCUUGCAUUUUCAGCACCUCUAGGCUAUAAAUAAAGGUGCUUAGCUUGUACAAUUCAGAUUGGAAUUUUAUAGUAGAGAGACUAUACUCAAAUUUGGAGAGAAAUUGUGAGUCUUGGGUCUUCUUCUUCCUUUGCCUUAUCUUGUAAGCAAUGGUGAGCUUCAAGUGGCGGCACUCCAUCACUUAUCUUGGAACAAGGAACCAAGUGGCGUGAAUGGCUUCUCCAAUUCUCAAAAUCCAGCAAGCUUCUUCUAUAAGUGUUCUUCUUCCUUUUCUUCAAUUUUCAUUCGGUAGUUUUUAAUUUCCUAGUCUUUCCUUUCAUUUGCACCGUUUAAAUUUGUGUUUCCAACUUUGUUUCUUUGAUGCUGUUCGGUUUAGUAGCUUAGCAUUUCAAUUCUGUCCAGCUUUUCAAUUCUUGUUCUUCAUUCCUUGUGUUUGAUUCCAUUUGACAAUAUAUGGACUUCCAUAUGAGCUUUGGUUUGGUGCAAAGUCUUGGUGAGUUCUUGAAUUAGAACAUUGAUCCAAUUCUAAGUAAAGUGCCAUUUCAUGACCAACUCAAGUUGCUUCUAAGAAUGUCAAAGAAUCAUGUAUUCUUGCUAUUGCAUUCACAUCACAAAGAUUAUACAAAAUCGAUUUCAGGAAGUGCAAAACAGUUAAGGAUACCUUGAGAGCACUGACUAGAUCGGUGCGAUUGUCUUCAUUGAGGGAUUUACAGGAAAACCAAGCGAAGUGAGAAAAAUUAUAAUUGAAAAAAAUUAGGGAGAAACAGAGAUAUGACACGAUAUAAAAAACACAUAGCAAUUGAAGAAUCUGAGUCGAAACACAUCGUUCAGUGCUGUAAGAGAAAGAAAUCAAAUUGGAGAGAGAGAAAAGGUAGAAAAGAACUCACCGAUUGAAGGGAGAACGAGAAGAAGAAGCCUGUGAGGAAAAGGUACCAAUGAAUAGAAUCGAUACCUAUCAACAAAAUCAUAAUCAAACUCUUGAUUAAGCUAUACAUAUGCAAAACUAAUUAACAUUAAACUCAUAGAAACAGAAGAAGAAAAAACUAAUUAUUACCUUUGUUCGGCCUUCUUCAAAUUAGGAUUCCAAGAUCGUCAAAUAAAUAACAAACAUCACAUCACUAAUCGCGAAACAUACUUGCGCUUUGCAGACAAGCGGUUCUGUGGUGGAGCGAAGGUUGAAGCAAGUUCCUUGGUGGAGUAGCAGAACCAUGUUUCGUGCUGGAAUAGUAGAAGCACGUUUCGUGUUGAAGCAGUAGAAACAAAGGUCCAGUGGUGUGCGAUGGGAGUGAGGUGCGAGUUGGACAAAAAUGAGACUGAAGAAAAGAGAAGAUGGAAAUGAAAGGCGAGUUUAGGUCUACCGGAAGUGAAGAGGAAAUGAAAAAAAAUAAGGAAAAAAGAAGA